UAUGUGGCUGUUCAAACCAGUAGUCUCAUCUAAGUCUGCUACAAUGGCUACUCAAGACCUUAAGAGGUUACGUACAGCGCGAGGCUAUACAAAAGCUUCCAUUACUCGCCUGUAUACAUUUUGUAAUAAUGACAGUGAUGUAGCUAGCAGUGCUUUAUCGGCGCUCGAUGCCAAAAGAGCGAGGGUGACGGAGCUCUUCAAAGAAUAUGACAAAUGUAACAAAGAAAUUCUGUCUUUGGACGAAGAGGAUGCGGAGGAUGUCGAAGACUUUGAGGAUAAAUAUUAUCAUAUACUGACAGUCCUCAACGAGGCAAUUAGUCGUAAAUCCUCGCCCUCGUCUGAAUCUCCUGCCGCCGCAUCAUGUCAAAAUAACUUUAAGGCUAAGUUGCCUACUAUAAAGAUAGAUGUGUUUACGGAUUCGUACACGUCGCGGGCGUACCAGUUGGAGCGAGAUGACACCAAGGACCCAACUAUCACCGAGUUCCUCUUGUACCUGGAGAAGCGAGCCUUGGCACUGGAGAAUGCUGAGCCGUCCACGUCGGGGAAGUCUCAACACAAGGCUGUGGUAAAUGUGACAGCGACCGCCUCGACUGCCUGCAACUAUUGUCCUGCUUCUGGAGCCGGUCCCUGGGCAGCAGCAGGAGUCAGAUGAAGACCCAGCGAGUCCUCAUCCUACAAUUGUAAAUACUAAGCUUGGCUACAUCAUCGGUGGUGCUUUAUCACGACAGCAAACCAGUGACAAAAAAUGAAGGCUCAGUGUGCGAAACAGCUGAUGGGUUCUUUGCCACCUGAAAGGGUCACAGCCUGCCGAGCAUUCCAGAAAGUCGGCAUCGACUUUGCAGGUCCCAUAACAGUGAAGAAUUCUCGCGUAAGAAGAGCUCUACAGACAAAAGGCUACAUAUGCGUUUUUGUUUGUUUUGUGACUAAAGCCAUACAUCUGGA
rnacentral:misc_RNA from 1 species